GACGAACGCUGGCGGCGUGCUUAACACAUGCAAGUCGAACGGAAAGGCCCUUCGGGGUACUCGAGUGGCGAACGGGUGAGUAACACGUGGGUGAUCUGCCCUGCACUUUGGGAUAAGCCUGGGAAACUGGGUCUAAUACCGGAUAGGACCACGGCAUUCAUGUGCUGUGGUGGAAAGCUUUUGCGGUGUGGGAUGGGCCCGCGGCCUAUCAGCUUGUUGGUGGGGUAAUGGCCUACCAAGGCGACGACGGGUAGCCGGCCUGAGAGGGUGACCGGCCACACUGGGACUGAGAUACGGCACAGACUCCUACGGGAGGCAGCAGUGGGGAAUAUUGCACAAUGGGCGCAAGCCUGAUGCAGCGACGCCGCGUGAGGGAUGACGGCCUUCGGGUUGUAAACCUCUUUCGCCAGGGACGAAGCGCAAGUGACGGUACCUGGAGAAGAAGGACCGGCCAACUACGUG
rnacentral:rRNA from 1 species